AUUGAACGCUGGCGGCAGGCCUAACACAUGCAAGUCGGACGGUAGCACAGAGGAGCUUGCUCCUUGGGUGACGAGUGGCGGACGGGUGAGUAAUGUCUGGGGAUCUGCCCGAUAGAGGGGGAUAACCACUGGAAACGGUGGCUAAUACCGCAUAACGUCGCAAGACCAAAGAGGGGGACCUUCGGGCCUCUCACUAUCGGAUGAACCCAGAUGGGAUUAGCUAGUAGGCGGGGUAAUGGCCCACCUAGGCGACGAUCCCUAGCUGGUCUGAGAGGAUGACCAGCCACACUGGAACUGAGACACGGUCCAGACUCCUACGGGAGGCAGCAGUGGGGAAUAUUGCACAAUGGGCGCAAGCCUGAUGCAGCCAUGCCGCGUGUAUGAAGAAGGCCUUCGGGUUGUAAAGUACUUUCAGCGGGGAGGAAGGCGAUGCGGUUAAUAACCGCGUCGAUUGACGUUACCCGCAGAAGAAGCACCGGCUAACUCCGUGCCAGCAGCCGCGGUAAUACGGAGGGUGCAAGCGUUAAUCGGAAUUACUGGGCGUAAAGCGCACGCAGGCGGUCUGUUAAGUCAGAUGUGAAGUCCCCGGGCUUAACCUGGGAACUGCAUUUGAAACUGGCAGGCUUGAGUCUUGUAGAGGGGGGUAGAAUUCCAGGU
rnacentral:rRNA from 1 species